rnacentral:rRNA from 1 species
GACGAACCGUGCAAACGUUAUUCGGAUUCAUUGGGCUUAAAGGGCGCGUAGGCGGACAGGCAAGUCAGGGGUGAAAUCCCACGGCUCAACCGUGGAAGUGCCUUUGAUACUGCCGGUCUCGAGGGAGGUAGGGGCGUGCGGAACUUCCGGUGGAGCGGUGAAAUGCGUAGAUAUCGGAAGGAACACCGGUGGCGAAAGCGGCGCGCUGGACCUCUUCUGACGCUGAGGCGCGAAAGCCAGGGGAGCAAACGGG